CCUACGGGAGGCAGCAGUGAGGAAUAUUGGUCAAUGGACGAGAGUCUGAACCAGCCAAGUAGCGUGAAGGAUGACUGCCCUAUGGUUUGUAAACUUCUUUUAUAUGGGAAUAAAAUGUUCCACGUGUGGGAUUUUGUAUGUACCAUAUGAAUAAGGAUCGGCUAACUCCGUGCCAGCAGCCGCGGUAAGGCGGAGGAUACGAGCGUUAUCCUGAUUUAUUGGGUUUAAAGGGAGCGUUGGUGGAUUUUUAAGUUAGUUGUGAAUGUUUGCGGGUCAACCGUAAAAUUGCAGUUGAAACUAGCAGUCGUGAGUACAGUAGAGGUGGGCGGAAUUCGAGGUGUAGCGGUGAAAUGCUUAGAUAUCACGAAGAACUCCGAUUGCGAAGGCAGCUCACUGGACUGCAACUGACACUGAGGCUCGAAAGUGUGGGUAUCAAACAGGAUUAGAUACCCGUGUAGUC
rnacentral:rRNA from 1 species